rnacentral:rRNA from 1 species
GAUGAACGCUGGCGGCGUGCCUAAUACAUGCAAGUCGAGCGAACAGACGAGGAGCUUGCUCCUCUGACGUUAGCGGCGGACGGGUGAGUAACACGUGGAUAACCUACCUAUAAGACUGGGAUAACUUCGGGAAACCGGAUCUAUACCGGAUAAUAUAUUGAACCGCCUGGGUUCAUCGGAAAACACGGUUUUGGUUUCACCUAUAGAUGGAUCCCCGCCGCAUUAGCUAGUUGGUAAGGUAACGGCUUACCAAGGCGACGAUGCGUAGCCGGCCUGAGAGGGUGAUCGGCCACACUGGAACUGAGACACGGUCCAGACUCCUACGGGAGGCAGCAGUAGGGAAUCUUCCGCAAUGGGCGAAAGCCUGACGGAGCAACGCCGCGUGAGUGAUGAAGGUCUUCGGAUCGUAAAACUCUGUUAUUAGGGAAGAACAAAUGUGUAAGUAACUAUGCACGUCUUGACGGUACCUAAUCAGAAAGCCACGGCUAACUACGUG